UUGCGUCUGCGGAGGGCCAGGCAGGAGUCUUUGAAAAGGCUUCGCAGACAGCCGAUCCCUGUACGGUCCGGUAACUCCAUCAAUUUUGAUGGAUUUAAUAUCUUCU
rnacentral:sRNA from 1 species